rnacentral:lncRNA from 1 species
UAUCUAAAAGUAUAAUCAACACAAAACCAAAAAUAAAACAGAACAGUAAGAAUUAAGGUUAGACGUGCAAAGCAGCUAAAAAUGAACUAAAAAUGGUCACACACAAUAAAUAUGAAAAACACAUUCACAAGUGAUCAAAGAACACCUAUGUAUGUACCUCGUUAGAACCAAGUUUUGCAAGAAGUUUUUCAUCCGGCUUACCCACAAGAGUCAUUAUACGAGUAAGCUGAUCAAUAUCUACAAUUGGUAUCAUUUAUAAUGAAAAAUAGGAUAAUGGAAAUAAGUUUGGCUUGUGUUUUGUAUUUAAAAAAAAGAAGGAAAUCAAUUAAAGCGCCAAUUGAAAGGAGGAAGGGGAAGUCUCAGCUUCUCUUCUAUAUAAGGAUUUUUACAUUUUAAAGAUCAUGUUUAUUAAAAGUCCAUAAAUAUAUCAUGAAUUUAUAUAUAUAAAAAGAGAUAAAAUGACUUACGAUCAAUCCCAGGAAAUAAUGUUUUACCCGUGAGCAUCUCAGCCAUUAUGCAACCAACAGACCACAUAUCAACUAAAAAUAAUUAAUAAAUCAUUAGAAAUAAUCAUUGAAAAAUGUAUAUAUUAAUACUUUGCGUACUCUAAUAUCAACAAAAAGAUGACUGUUUUAUAAAACUAAGUUUACAUUAAUAAUUAUGUAAGUAAGUAAUAUAUAAACAUUAGUAAUAUAUAUUAAGAAUUCCUAUAAAUAAACAGACAGGAGUAACUGAAUACGUAUUAUAAUAUCAUUUAUAGUCGAAAAUAAUAAAAUAUCCUACCAGUUUGCUGAUAAUGCAUCCAAUUAAGCAUAAUUUCAGGAGCUCUAUACCAUCUUGUAGCAACAUAGCCAGUCAUUUCAAACUCAGCAGGACGGGCUAAUCCAAAAUCAAGGAUUUUAAGCUCACAGUCUUCAUUUACAGCAAUAUUUGAGGGCUUUAAGUCCCUGUGAAUAAUCCCUGCAGAAUGGAAAUACUUCAUGCCUCGAAGAAUUUGAUAAACAAGGAAUUGAACAUGAUCAUCCGUUAACUUCUGUGUUUUGAUGAUUUUAUUUAAAUCAGCUCCCAUUAAAUGACUAACUAAAUAAACGUCAUUAAACUCAUGUAAUGUUUUGGAGGGAGUAAAUACAUUGAGUAGUCCAAUGAUCUAAGAAAAACGAGGGAAAAGGAUGUAAUACUUAUUGUGUGCUUCAGAUUGUGAUUCAUGCCUUACAUUGUCGUGAUUCAUAUGCUUGAGCAUCCGAAGCUCUCGAUACGUUCUUUUUGCAUGAAUGGCAGUUUGGAAGGGACGAGCCAAUUUUUUUAUAGCGACUUGUGUAUAGGAUCCAUCUUUGAGCUUGGGAGCAAAUAUAUCCUUAGCACUACAUACCUUAAAAGUUAAAAAUGAUAAACAGAAGACUUGAUUCGUGAUGGGACCUUACCUGCCCAUAAGCACCCGAUCCGACUGGAGACAAAUCCGCGUAACGACGUGGUAUUUCCCACACCGUUUUAUUUAGCUCAAUUUGAUAGUAGUCCUCCUU